CGGAACCCUCGAGGCGCCUUUUAAGGGGGAAAUGUUUUCAGUACGGACGUUUUCUGCACCGCGCGAGCAGGCGCUGGGUGCGCCUGCGCAGUACCUUGAUGCGAGUCUAUAACUCUAAGGACACAGUAGGCUGCUCAGACCCGGCUUUCCAUUCCGUUUGGGGGAAUACGGGCGCAGCCAUAAUUCAUUUGUGCACCAGGUCCUUUCUGGUUUUUCAGAGUUCUUGUUGCAAUAGUACCUUAGAAAAAAUGGGAGCAAGUAAAGCAAUAUCUUUAAUUUAGACCAAGUAGAUUUUUUUCGUGGUGGAAGCAAAUUUUUGAAUCACACAGGGCUCUUUUCAAGUUGGGUCUUCGGUAAAGAAAACUGUAGCUAUAUUCUCCGAAAGAACACGGUGAUGAUAUUGCCCACAUUAGGGCAGUGUUACAAAAGAGUGUGCAAAAUUUCAAGUUCUCCAGAACUCUUCAGUAGGCUACGGUGAAAAUGUAGACAGUGACACCUUGUGGGUUGACCACAGCAGUUCACAAACUGCAGGAUUUAGACUGCAAUUGUGUGUGUGACUCAUAACCUCAGAGUAAAAGUUAUCCAUUCCAUCUGAAGUUUUCACUCCAAUCUCACCCUCUGGAGUUUGGUUUCCUCUAUAGGCUAAUAGGGUGAGCUGAAAGUUGCCCUGAAAAAACUUUGCAGUUCAUGGGAAGUUGGGAACCUUCCCCAUUUUGGCUGAGGCUGCUAGGAAUUUUAGUCGAAAACAUCUGGAAGGCAUCAGACUGGGUGAGGAUGAGGAAAGAAUGCAGGAAAUCUGCCUUAUAGUGAGACAGACUGUUGAUUCAUCUAGCUCAGCAAUGUCAGUCCUACCUGGAGAUACUGGGGAUUGAAACUAAGACCUUCUGCAUACAAAGCAGGUGUUAUUUCACUGAGCCACAGGCCCAAAGGACCCCCGAGGAAGAACAUGUUAAAGAAUAACAACAAAAACCGCAAACCAUCAAAGCAAGCAACAAGGGAGCCCUAAUUGCCAACCCACAGAAAGCAAUACUGAGCACCAGGGCUCCUGACCGCCAUCUAAUGCACCCCAUGUAAGUUUGGCAGUAGGUACCCACCACAA